AGAGUGGCGAACGGGUGAGUAACACGUGACCAACCUGCCUCUUACAUUGGGACAACCAAAAGAAAUUCUGGCUAAUACCAAAUACUCCGCACAUAUCACAUGAUGUAUGCGGGAAAGCUUUUGCGGUAAGAGAUGGGGUCGCGGCCCAUUAGGUAGACGGCGGGGUAGAAGCCCACCGUGCCGAUGAUGGGUAGCCGGGUUGAGAGACCGACCGGCCACAUUGGGACUGAGAUACGGCCCAGACUCCUACGGGAGGCAGCAGUU
rnacentral:rRNA from 1 species